ACGGAAGGCAGCAGUGGGGAAUAUUGCACAAUGGGCGAAAGCCUGAUGCAGCGACGCCGCGUGAGUGAAGAAGUAUCUCGGUAUGUAAAGCUCUAUCAGCAGGGAAGAAAAUGACGGUACCUGACUAAGAAGCCCCGGCUAACUACGUGCCAGCAGCCGCGGUAAUACGUAGGGGGCAAGCGUUAUCCGGAUUUACUGGGUGUAAAGGGAGCGUAGACGGUUUGGCAAGUCUGAAGUGAAAUGCGGGGGCUCAACUCCUGAACUGCUUUGGAAACUGUCGAACUAGAGUGCAGGAGAGGUAAGUGGAAUUCCUGGUGUAGCGGUGAAAUGCGUAGAUAUUAGGAGGAACACCAGUGGCGAAGGCGGCUUACUGGACUGUAACUGACGUUGAGGCUCGAAAGCGUGGGGAGCAAACAGGAUUAGAUACCCUGGUA
rnacentral:rRNA from 1 species